UUACAAUGUGACAACAUCGGUGAGUUCAUCAACUCCACCUUGCGCACUUUCUUCUCCACCAACGGUAUUUCCUACCGGCUUUCAUGCCCUCACACCUCUCCUCAAAACGGUAAGGCCGAGUGUCUCCUUCACACUACUAACGACGUUGUCCGCACUCUCCUUCUUCAAGCUAAUCUCACCCCGCCCUUCUGGGUCGAAGCAUUGCAUACUGCCACCUACCACCUAAACCGACGUCCAUCUCGCACGGUUCACGGUCAUACUCCCUACUACAUGUUGCACAACAUUCACCCCACCUACGAUCACCUUCGCGUCUUUGGGUGUCUUUGCUAUCCCAACCUCUAUGCCACAAGUGCCCAAAAACACUCUCCUCGCUCCACUCGUUGUGUUUUUCUCGGCUAUCCCCUCGAGCACAAGGGUUGUCGCUAUUACGAUCUCGCCACUAGACGCAUCAUAGUCUCACAUCACGUAAUUUUCGAUGAGAGCACUUUUACAUACGAGCCUCCCACACCUUCGCCCUGA
rnacentral:rRNA from 1 species